UACAGAGGGUGCAAGCGUUAAUCGGAAUUACUGGGCGUAAAGGGUGCGUAGGUGGUUCUUUAAGUCAGAUGUGAAAUCCCUGGGCUCAACCUAGGAAUUGCGUUUGAGACUGAAGAACUAGAGUACAGGAGAGGGAAGUGGAAUUUCCGGUGUAGCGGUGAAAUGCGUAGAUAUCGGAAGGAACAUCAGUGGCGAAGGCGACUUCCUGGACUGUUACUGACACUGAGGCACGAAAGCGUGGGGAGCGAACAGG
rnacentral:rRNA from 1 species